rnacentral:misc_RNA from 1 species
AACGCACAUUGCGCCCCGUGGUAUUCCGCGGGGCAUGCCUGUUCGAGCGUCAUUUCACCACUCAAGCCUAGCUUGGUAUUGGGCGUCGCGGUUCCGCGCGCCUUGAAGUCUCCGGCUGAGCAGUUCGUCUCUAAGCGUUGUGGCAUAUAUUUCGCUAAAGAGUUCGGGCGGCUUUUGGCCGUUAAAUCUUUUCAAAGGUUGACCUCGGAUCAGGUAGGGAUACCCGCUGAACUUAA